UACGAAGGGGGCUAGCGUUGCUCGGAAUCACUGGGCGUAAAGCGCACGUAGGCGGCUUUCUAAGUCAGGGGUGAAAUCCUGGAGCUCAACUCCAGAACUGCCUUUGAUACUGAAGAUCUUGAGUCCGGGAGAGGUGAGUGGAACUGCGAGUGUAGAGGUGAAAUUCGUAGAUAUUCGCAAGAACACCAGUGGCGAGGGCGGCUCACUGGCCCGGUACUGACGCUGAGGCACGAAAGCGUGGGGAGCAAACAGG
rnacentral:rRNA from 1 species